rnacentral:rRNA from 1 species
GACGAACGCUGGCGGCGUGCCUAACACAUGCAAGUCGAACGGAAAGGCCCUGCUUUUGUGGGGUGCUCGAGUGGCGAACGGGUGAGUAACACGUGAGUAACCUGCCCUUGACUUUGGGAUAACUUCAGGAAACUGGGGCUAAUACCGGAUAGGAGCUCCUGCUGCAGGGUGGGGGUUGGAAAGUUUCGGCGGUUGGGGAUGGACUCGCGGCUUAUCAGCUUGCUGGUGGGGUAGUGGCUUACCAAGGCUUUGAAGGGUAGCCGGCCUGAGAGGGUGACCGGCCACAUUGGGACUGAGAGACGGCCCAGACUCCUACGGGAGGCAGCAGUGGGGAAGAUUGCACAAUGGACGGAAGCCUGAUGCAGCAACGCCGCGGGCGGGAUAACGGCCUUCGGGUUGUAAACCGCUUUCGCCUGUGACGAAGCGUGAGUGACGGUAAUGGGUAAAGAAGCACCGGCUAACUACGUG